GGUCGGUUGGCAGAGUGGUUGAAUGCGUCGGUCUCGAAAACCGGUAAGGGUGCAAGCCCUUCGAGAGUUCGAAUCUCUCACCGACCGCCA
rnacentral:tRNA from 1 species